rnacentral:rRNA from 1 species
UGCAUAUCAAUAAGCGGAGGAAAAGAAACCAACAGGGAUUGCCUCAGUAACGGCGAGUGAAGCGGCAAAAGCUCAGAUUUGAAAUCUGGCGUCAUCUUGGCGUCCGAGUUGUAAUCUGUAGAGGAGUAUUCGAGUGUGGCGUUGGCUUAAGUUCCUUGGAACAGGACGUCAUAGAGGGUGAGAACCCCGUUAACGGCCUUUGUCUUAUGCUCAUGUGAAUCUCCUUCAACGAGUCGAGUUGUUUGGGAAUGCAGCUCUAAAUGGGUGGUAAAUUCCAUCUAAAGCUAAAUACUGGCAAGAGACCGAUAGCGCACAAGUAGAGUGAUCGAAAGAUGAAAAGAACUCUGAACAGAGAGUUAAAUAGUACGUGAAAUUGUUGAAAGGGAAGCACUUGCUACCAGACACGCCUGUAGUUGAUCAGCCUUCAUUCUUGAUGGUGCACUCGGCUAUAUGGUGGGUCAGCAUCAGUUGUGGCGGUGGGAUAAAGACCUGGGGAAUGUGGCUUCUCUCGGGAAGUGUUAUAGCCCUGGGUGCAAUACCGCCUGCUGCGACUGAGGACCGCGCCCG